AGUCGAGGGGCAGCAUAAGAUCAGCUUGCUGAUUUGGUGGCGACCGGCGCACGGGUGCGUAACGCGUAUGCAACCUACCUUGUACAGAGAGAUAGCCCAGAGAAAUUUGGAUUAAUACCUCAUAGUAUCAUUGAAUGGCAUCAUUUAAUGAUUAAAGUUUCGGCGGUACAAGAUGAGCAUGCGUCCUAUUAGUUAGAUGGUAAGGUAACGGCUUACCAUGGCUACGAUAGGUAGGGGUUCUGANAGGAUGAUCCCCCACACUGGUACUGAGACACGGACCAGACUCCUACGGGAGGCAGCAGUGAGGAAUAUUGGUCAAUGGACGCAAGUCUGAACCAGCCAUGCCGCGUGCAGGAAGACGGUCCUCUGGAUUGUAAACUGCUUUUAUUUGGGAAGAAACCCCCGGUCGUGCAUCGGGGCUGACAGUACCAAAGGAAUAAGCACCGGCUAACUCCGUGCCAGCAGCCGCGGUAAUACNGAGGGUGCAAGCGUUAUCCGGAAUCAUUGGGUUUAAAGGGUCCGCAGGCGGGCUAAUAAGUCANUGGUGAAAUCCCUCANCUUAACUGAGGAACUGCCAUUGAUACUGCUANUCUUGAAUUCGGUCGAAGUGGGCGGAAUGUGUCAUGUANCGGUGAAAUGCAUANAUAUGACACAGAACACCGAUNGCGAANGCAGCUCACUGGGCCUGAAUUGACGCUCANNGACGAAAGCGUGNGGAGCAAACAGGAUUANAUACCCUGGUAGUCCACGCCGUNAACGAUGAUNACUCGAUAUUGGCGAUAUACGGUCAGUGUCUAAGCGAAAGUGAUAAGUAAUCCACCUGNGGAGUACNAUCGCAAGGUUGAAACUCAAAGGAAUUGANNGGGCCC
rnacentral:rRNA from 1 species